GCACCCAGACGCAGGCUGGGCAGGGGUGGGUGUUCACUGCUGGGACUGCCACAUUCACACCCACAAACCAGCCCGUGAGGCAAAACCCUGGGAUGAAGCAGCCCAUAAGUGCUAGGCAAAGCAACAGGCUUAUACUUGAUGCGGAGACAUCCGAACAGCUCAUGUGAGCAUCUUGUGUGGCAGGAUCCCUUUUACAUUACCUUAUUUCAGACGUGUCUAGCAUGCUAUGACUGAAGUCCAAGAGCAAAAAGAGUGCGACAGAGCUGCAGCUGUCACCCUCACGCCAGACCUUUGAAAGUCGAGAGGGCACUGUGUUACAGAGCCGAUGGAAACACCUUCAAUAGAUGUGACGGGCCGUUAAUGAACGUUUGGACGUGAUAUUGGCAGACGACCUAGCGAGGAGCACUACCUGAAGCUGAACAGACUUCCAAGUGCAAGGGAACAGCUACCAGAAAAAGCAGUUUCCAAUUAGACAUCCAAAUGAAUCGGCUUUAAAUUAAUUGUCAAUGACAAAAUGAAAUUAAUAUCAGCUAAGUAUAUAGCUUUCCUGGAAUACCUCAAAUCUGUUUGCCUGCGGUGACCAGACCACCUCCCACAGACAGCCCCACAGUGAAUCACAAAGGUGA